UCAUUGGUAAAAGGUACUUCA
ensembl:piRNA 21ur-472 ncRNA